rnacentral:lncRNA from 1 species
UGGUUAUACUGGUUUAUACUGGUUUAUACUGGGAGGGGUGUGGGUGGCACUGGUUUAUACUGGUUUAUACUGGUUUAUACUGGUUUAUACUGGGAGGGGGUUGUGUGGCACUCUUCCUCUGAGUCCCCAGUGCUCCCAGUAUCCCCAGUUCCCAUUCCCAGUGCUCCCAGUAUGGCCCAGUCCCAUUCCCAGUGCUCCCAGUAUGGCCCAGUCCCAUUCCCAGUGCUCCCAGUAUGGCCCAGUCCCAUUCCCAGUGCUCCCAGUAUGGCCCAGUCCCAUUCCCAGUGCUCCCAGUAUGGCCCAGUCCCAUUCCCAGUGCUCCCAGUAUCCCCAGUCCCAUUCCCAGUGCUCCCAGUAUCCCCAGUUCCCGCCCGCCUGCCGGACUCCGCCGCGCCGCCAGGUGGCGCUGUCGCGGUCGCUGCUCUUCCCGGAAGUGCCGCUCUGGCCGCUCCUCCCGGAAGUGCCGCUCCGGCCGCCGCUCUCGCUGCUCCACCCCGGAAGUGCCGCUCCGGCCGCCGCUCUGUGAUUGGCUCCUCCCCUGCCGGGGCGCGGCGUCGCGCGACCGGAAGCGCGGUGACGUCACUGUUUGCGGAAGUGCUGCGCGGAGCCGGUGUCCCAUGGAGGUGCUCUUUGGGCGGAGGCGCUCUCCGGAGGAGCUGCUCCGGCAGAACCAGCGCGCUGUGUGUGUGUCCCUGCGUGUCCCUGUGUGUCCCUGCGUGUCCCUGUGUGUCCCUGCGUGUCCCUGUGUGUCCCUGUGUGUCCCUGUGUGUCCCUGCGUGUCCCUGUGUGUCCCUGUGUGUCCCUGUGUGUCCCUGCGUGUCACCACGUGUCACCACGUGUCCCCAAUGUCCCCAGGUGUCCCAUGGAGGUGCUCUUUGGGCGGAGGCGCUCUCCUGAGGAGCUGCUCCGGCAGAACCAGCGCGCUGUGUGCUGUGUCCCUGCAUGUCCCUGCGUGUCCCUGUGUGUCCCUGUGUAUCACAGCGUGUCCCCAGUGUCACCUCAAUGUCCCCAAUGUCCCCAGGUGUCCCAUGGAGGUGCUCUUUGGGCGGAGGCGCUCUCCUGAGGAGCUGCUCCGGCAGAACCAGCGCGCUGUGUGUGUGUCCCUGAGUGUCCCUGCGUGUCCCUGUGUGUCCCUGCGUGUCCCUGUGUAUCACAGCGUGUCCCUGAGUGUCCCUGCGUGUCCCUGUGUGUCCCUGUGUGUCCCUGUGUGUCCCCAGAUGUCACCACGUGUCCCCAAUGUCCCCAGGUGUCCCAUGGAGGUGCUCUUUGGGCGGAGGCGCUCUCCUGAGGAGCUGCUCCGGCAGAACCAGCGCGCUGUGUGCUGUGUCCCUGUGUGUCCCUGUGUGUCCCUGCGUGUCCCUGCGUGUCCCUGUGUGUCCCCUCAGUGUCCCCAAUGUCCCCAAUGUCCCCAGGUGUCCCAUGGAGGUGCUGUUCGGGCGGAGGCGCUCUCCAGAGGAGCUGCUCCGGCAGAACCAGCGCGCUGUGUGCUGUGUCCCUGUGUGUCCCUGCGUGUCCCUGUGUGUCCCUGUGUGUCCCUGCGUGUCCCUGUGUGUCCCUGUGUGUCCCUGCGUGUCCCUGUGUGUCCCUGUGUGUCCCUGUGUAUCACAGCGUGUCCCCAGGUGUCACAGUGUGUCCCCAAUGUCCCCAGGUGUCCCAUGGAGGUGC